rnacentral:rRNA from 1 species
GAUGAACGCUAGCGGCAGGCUUAAUACAUGCAAGUUGAGGGGCAGCAUGAUAUACGCGAGUAUAUUGAUGGCGACCGGCGGACGGGUGAGUAAUAGGUAGGAGACCUACCUCAUACAGGGGAAUAGCAUAGAGAAAUCUGUGGUAAUACCCCAUGAGGUUAUAUGAAUAGAGGCAUAUAAUCAAAGCAUAAGCGAUUAUGCGGUAUGAGAGGGGCCUACUGACCAUUAGCUAGUUGGUGAGGUAAGGGCUCACCAAGGCGAAAGAUGGUUAGGGGUUUUGAGAGAGAGACCCCCCACAUUGGAACUGAGAGACGGUCCAGACUCCUACGGGAGGCAGCAGUAGGGAAUAUUGGGCAAUGGGCGAAAGCCUGACCCAGCCAUGCCGCGUGAAGGAAGACGGCCUUAUGGGUUGUAAACUUCUUUACUACGCGAAUAGAGGUUAGUACGAGAUACUAAUAGGAAGGUAGUGUAGUAAAAAGCAACCGGCUAAACUCCGUG